UUUGGUGCUAUGAUUAUAAAAAUUCCUCGUACUGAAUUGCCAAUGGCAUGACAGACUAUAUCUACCCAUAGAAUAUGAGCACU